ACGAACGCUGGCGGCGUGCCUAACACAUGCAAGUCGCACGAGAACCUUCUUCGGAAGGCGUAAAGUGGCGCACGGGUGCGUAACACGUAGGUAAUCUGCCCUUCGCGGGGGAUAACGUUCCGAAAGGAACGCUAAUACCGCAUAAGACCACGGCCUCUAUGGGGGCUGAGGUCAAAGCUGGCCUCUUCAUGAAAGCUAGCACCGAAGAAUGAGCCUGCGGCCCAUCAGCUAGUUGGCGAGGUAAUGGCUCACCAAGGCGAAGACGGGUAGCUGGUCUGAGAGGAUGAUCAGCCACACUGGCACUGAGACACGGCCCAGACUCCUACGGGAGGCAGCAGUGGGGAAUAUUG
rnacentral:rRNA from 1 species